ACCGAGAUUUGUAGAUUCCCAUGCAAUAGUCGAUUAUUUUGGUGCUAAAGUUGUUUAAAUCUGGGACCUGAGUGCAUUAUUCACGUAGCCAUUCAAUUGUUUAGCUAUAUAUGUGCAGUGGACACCCGUGAUUACCUUAUUAUGUGCUGCUUUAAUUGCUUUUGUGAUUUCUUCAGCAUGGUGGUUCCCUCUUAUGGUGGAAUCAGCUCAUUAUGUAGAAGUAUUUUUCAUACACCACCUAUUUUGGUUCUGACUCAAAAUUAUCUUUUUUCUAUGAACAUAACUUGAGCUAUCUGUUAGAUGAUUGUUUUGUAAUAAUAUGAAGUACUGAAUGACGAUAUUACCUAUAAAAUAAGAUUAAAGGC
rnacentral:lncRNA from 1 species